rnacentral:rRNA from 1 species
GAUGAACGCUGGCGGCGUGCCUAAUACAUGCAAGUCGAGCGAUCAGACUUGGAGCUUGCUCCUCUGACGUUAGCGGCGGACGGGUGAGUAAUACGUGGAUAACCUACCUUUAAGACUGGGAUAACUCUGGGAAACUGGAGCUAAUACUGGAUAAUAUAUUUAACCGCAUGGUUCCAUAUUGAAAGACUUUUUUUCUGUUUCUUAUAGAUGGAUCCGCGUCGCAUUAGAUAGUUGGUAAGGUAACGGCUUACCAAGGCAACGAUGCGUAGCCGACCUGUGAGGGUGGUAGGCCGCACUGGAACGGGAACGCGGUCAAGACUCCUGCGAGAGGCCGCAGUAGGGAAUCGGCCGCAAUAGGCGGAAGCAUGACAGAGCGACGCCGCGUGAGUGGUGAAGGUCUUCGGAUAGUGAAACUCUGUUAUGAGGGAAGAACAAAUGUGAAAAUGGCAAUACACAUAUUGACGGUACCUAAUCAGAAAGCCACGGCUAACUACGUG